GGGCGCGCGGGGAGCUCAGUCCCCUGGCGUGGGCACAGGCAAGAAAAACCUGGCAGCCCUCUACCCUCUUUUCAGUGCAUUUGGGGCCUGGCUGGAAGGCCCCUCCGAGGUAGACCCUGAGAGUACCCUCCCCUUGGGAACAUCACGGAUCUGCGCCGCCUCCACCAGGCUGGCCUCAGGGGCUGCUCCCUCGAGUACCCUGGCCCUGCUGGACCGUGGCUGGGGAUGGCAGCAAGGAGAUGGACAUGGCACUCCCAGAGCCGUGGCUGCUGCAGGUGCUCAAAGGGCUGCUGCGAGAACAGAGGGAGAGCUCUCCAAACCCCAGCACGGUUCUCAGUCAUCAUGAGACCGGAACACAGAGGCCCACACACGACCGCUGGACAUGUUUAAGAAAAUGCCAAUGUAUUUCCACUAGAAAAAUCCUCUUUUCCUAAAUACAUGUCUCUAUGUUGAAUAAGUUAAAAUAGCAUCUCC
rnacentral:lncRNA from 1 species